UCUCCCCGGCCGGGCGGACACUUGGUUCAUUCCAGCCGCAGAAGCUCAGAGCUCCCGCGUACCGGGAUUUUUUCCGAGCAGAAAAAAGCUCCAGAGCUCUCCUGACCUCCUUUCUCCUCCACUGCGAGGGGAGCCUCUCCCUCGGCGCUGCCGGUCGCGCCAUGCCGCGCUCGCGGGGACGGAAGCAGGGGCGCUGCGUCUGCCCCGCGGGGAGGGCUCGCGCCGAAGCCGGGAUUUCGGCGCUUGUGCCGGGCGCCGGGAGCCGCUGGGGCCGUCCGCCGACACCGCCGCCGCCGCCGCCGCCGCUGCUGCUGCUGCUGGGCUGGGGGCUGCUCAGCGCCUCGGCCGCCGCGGGCCAGAACUGCACGUUCCAACUGCAGGGUCCCAAUGGCACCGUUGAGAGCCCAGGGUUCCCGUAUGGCUACCCCAAUUACGCCAACUGCACGUGGACCAUCACAGUGGAGGACCAGCAUCGGAUCCAGCUUGUGUUCCAGUCCUUCGCCCUGGAGGAGGACUUUGACGUCCUGUCGGUGUUUGAUGGGCCACCCCAGCCAGAGAACCUGCGAACCAGGCUCACAGGCUUUCAGCUGCCAGCCGCUGUCGUCAGCGCGGCCACCACCCUCUCUCUACGUCUCAUCAGUGACUACGCAGUCAGCGCACAGGGCUUCCAUGCCAGCUAUGAAGCUCUCCCCAGCCACACGUGUGGGAACCCCGGGCGGCUGCCCAACGGCGUCCAGCAGGGCUCAACCUUCAACCUCGGCGACAAGGUCCGCUACAGCUGCAACCCCGGCUUCUUCCUGGAGGGCCACGCCGUGCUUACUUGCCACACUGGCUCUGAGAACAGUGCCACGUGGGACUUCCCGCUGCCCUCCUGCAGAGCGGACGACGCAUGCGGCGGAACCCUGCGGGGCCAGAGCGGCAUCAUUUCCAGCCCGCACUUCCCCUCGGAGUACCACAACAAUGCCGACUGCACCUGGACCAUCCUGGCCGAGCUGGGGGACACCAUCGCCCUGGUCUUUAUUGACUUCCAGCUGGAGGACGGUUACGACUUUCUGGAAGUCACGGGGACUGAAGGCUCCUCCCUCUGGUUCACCGGAGCCAGCCUCCCGGCCCCCGUCAUCAGCAGCAAAAACUGGCUACGGCUGCACUUCACGUCGGAUGGCAACCACCGGCAGCGCGGCUUCAGCGCCCAGUACCAAGUCAAGAAGCAAAUUGAGUUGAAGUCUCGAGGCGUGAAGCUGAUGCCCAGCAAAGAUAACAGCCAGAAGACGUCUGUGUUAACUCAGGUUGGUGUGUCCCAAGGGCAUAAUAUGUGUCCAGACCCUGGCAUACCUGAAAGGGGCAAAAGACUAGGCUCAGAUUUCAGGUUAGGAUCCAGCGUCCAGUUCACCUGCAACGAGGGCUAUGACCUGCAAGGGUCCAAGCGGAUCACCUGUAUGAAAGUCAGCGACAUGUUUGCAGCCUGGAGUGACCACAGGCCGGUCUGCCGAGCCCGUAUGUGUGAUGCCCACCUUCGAGGCCCCUCAGGCAUCAUCACCUCCCCUAAUUUCCCCAUUCAGUAUGACAACAACGCACACUGUGUGUGGAUCAUCACAGCACUCAACCCCGCCAAGGUGAUCAAGCUGGCCUUCGAGGAGUUUGACCUGGAGAGGGGUUACGACACCCUGACGGUCGGGGACGGCGGUCAGGACGGAGACCAGAAGACGGUUCUCUACAUCCUGACAGGUACGUCGGUCCCAGAUCUCAUUGUCAGCACCAACCAUCAAAUGUGGCUCCUCUUCCAGACCGACAGCAGUGGCAGCUCCCUGGGCUUCAAGGCUUCUUACGAAGAGAUCGAGCAGGGCAGUUGUGGAGAUCCUGGCAUACCUGCCUACGGCUGGAGGGAAGGCUCCUGGUUUCGCCACGGUGAUACACUCCAGUUUGAGUGCCAGCCGGCCUUUGAGCUGGUGGGGCAGAAGGCAAUCACGUGCCAAAAGAAUAACCAGUGGUCGGCUAAGAAGCCAGGCUGCGUGUUUUCCUGCUUCUUCAACUUCACCAGCCCCUCUGGGGUCGUCCUGUCACCUAACUACCCGGAAGACUACGGCAACCACCUCCACUGCGUCUGGCUUAUCCUCGCGCGGCCCGAGAGCCGCAUCCACCUGGCCUUCAAUGACAUUGAUGUGGAGCCUCAGUUUGACUUCCUGGUCAUCAAGGACGGGGCCACGGCUGAGGCCCCAGUCCUGGGCACCUUCUCGGGAAACCAACUCCCUUCCUCCAUCACAAGCAGUGGCCACGUGGCACGUCUUGAGUUCCAGACCGACCACUCCACGGGGAAGAGGGGCUUCAACAUCACCUUUACUACUUUUCGACACAAUGAGUGUCCAGAUCCGGGCGUUCCAGUAAACGGCAAACGGUUUGGUGACAGCCUCCAGCUGGGAAGCUCCAUCUCCUUCCUCUGCGAUGAAGGCUUCCUCGGGACUCAGGGUUCAGAGACCAUCACCUGCAUCCUGAAGGAGGGCAGCGUGGUCUGGAACAGUGCCGUGCUGCGGUGUGAAGCUCCCUGCGGCGGUCAUCUGACUUCGCCCAGCGGCACCAUCCUGUCUCCGGGCUGGCCUGGCUUCUACAAGGAUGCCCUGAGCUGUGCCUGGGUGAUUGAAGCCCAGCCAGGCUACCCCAUCAAAAUCACCUUCGACAGAUUUAAAACUGAGGUCAACUAUGACACUCUGGAAGUGCGAGAUGGACGGACGCACUCGGCGCCCUUGAUCGGAGUUUACCACGGGACCCAGGUGCCCCAGUUCCUCAUCAGCACCAGCAACUGCCUCCACCUCCUCUUCUCCACCGACAAGAGUCACUCGGACAUCGGCUUCCAGCUCCGCUAUGAGACUAUAACACUGCAGUCAGACCACUGUCUGGAUCCAGGGAUCCCCGUCAAUGGGCAGCGUCAUGGGAAUGACUUCUACGUGGGCGCCCUGGUGACCUUCAGCUGUGACUCGGGCUACACACUAAGCGACGGGGAGCCCCUGGAGUGUGAGCCCAACUUCCAGUGGAGCCGGGCCCUGCCCAGCUGUGAAGCUCUCUGUGGUGGCUUCAUUCAAGGCUCCAGUGGGACCAUCUUGUCACCGGGGUUCCCUGAUUUCUACCCCAACAACUUGAACUGCACCUGGAUUAUCGAAACAUCACAUGGCAAGGGUGUGUUCUUCACUUUCCACACCUUCCACCUGGAGAGCAGCCACGACUACCUCCUCAUCACGGAGAAUGGCAGCUUCACUCAGCCCCUGAGGCAGCUGACCGGUUCCCGGUUGCCAGCGCCCAUCAGCGCUGGACUCUACGGCAACUUCACUGCCCAGGUCCGCUUCAUUUCCGACUUCUCCAUGUCCUACGAAGGCUUCAACAUCACCUUCUCAGAGUAUGACUUGGAGCCCUGUGAGGAGCCUGAGGUCCCAGCCUACAGCAUCCGGAAGGGCUUGCAGUUUGGUGUAGGUGACACCUUGACCUUCUCCUGCUUCCCCGGGUACCGUCUGGAGGGCACGGCCCGCAUCACGUGCCUGGGGGGCAGACGGCGCCUGUGGAGCUCGCCUCUGCCAAGGUGUGUUGCUGAGUGUGGGAAUUCAGUCACGGGCACUCAGGGCACUCUGCUGUCCCCCAACUUUCCUGUGAACUACAGUAACAACCACGAAUGCAUCUACUCCAUCCAGACCCAGCCGGGGAAGGGGAUUCAGCUCAAAGCCAGGGCGUUUGAACUCUCUGAAGGAGAUGUCCUCAAGGUCUACGAUGGCAACAACAACUCCGCCCGUUUGCUGGGGGCGUUCAGCCGCUCGGAGAUGCUGGGGGUGACACUGAACAGCACGUCCAGCGGCCUGUGGCUUGACUUCAUUUCUGACGCUGAGAAUACCAGCAAGGGCUUUGAGCUGCAGUUUUCCAGUUUUGAACUCAUCAAAUGUGAAGACCCAGGAACCCCCCAGUUUGGCUACAAGGUUCGCGAUGGAGGCCAUUUCGCAGGGAGCUCUGUGUCCUUCGGCUGUGACCCUGGGUACAGCCUGCGGGGCAGUGAGGCGCUGCUGUGUCUGAGCGGGGAGCGCAGGACCUGGGAUCGGCCGCUCCCCACUUGUGUCGCCGAGUGUGGCGGGACAGUGAAAGGAGAGGAGUCGGGGCAAGUGCUGUCACCCGGGUAUCCAGCUCCCUACGAGCACAACCUCAACUGCAUCUGGACCAUCGAAGCCAAUGCCGGCUGCACCAUCGGACUCCACUUCCUGGUCUUUGACACGGAGGAGCUCCACGACGUGUUGCGCAUCUGGGAUGGGCCUGUGGAGAGUGGGGUUCUGCUGAAGGAGCUCAGUGGCCCGGCCCUGCCCAAGGACCUGCACAGCACCUUCAGCUUGGUCGUUCUGCAGUUCAGCACCGACUUCUUCACCAGCAAGCAGGGUUUUGCCAUUCAGUUCUCAGUGUCCACAGCAACAUCCUGCAAUGACCCUGGGGUCCCCCAGAAUGGGAGCCGGAGUGGCGACAGUUGGGAAGCCGGUGACUCCACGGUGUUCCAGUGUGACCCCGGCUAUGCGCUGCAGGGAAGUGCAGAGAUCAGCUGUGUGAAGAUCGAGAACAGAUUCUUCUGGCAGCCCAGCCCACCAACGUGCAUCGCUCCCUGCGGGGGAGACCUGACGGGACCAUCGGGAGUCAUCCUGUCACCAAAUUACCCAGAACCCUACCCGCCAGGCAAGGAGUGCGACUGGAAGGUGACCGUCUCUCCAGACUACGUCAUCGCCCUGGUAUUUAACAUCUUUAACUUGGAGCCUGGCUAUGACUUCCUCCAUAUCUACGAUGGACGGGACUCUCUCAGCCCCCUCAUAGGAAGCUUCUACGGCUCCCAGCUCCCAGGCCGCAUCGAGAGCAGCAGUAACAGCCUCUUCCUCGCCUUCCGCAGCGAUGCGUCGGUGAGCAACGCCGGCUUCGUCAUCGACUACACAGAAAACCCACGGGAGUCAUGUUUCGAUCCUGGUCCCAUCAAGAAUGGCACGCGAGUGGGGUCCGACCUGAAGCUGGGCUCCUCCAUCACCUACUACUGCCAGGGGGGCUAUGAGGUGGAGGGCUUCUCCACCCUGAGCUGCAUCCUGGGGCCUGAUGGGAAGCCUGUGUGGAAUCAUCCCCAGCCAGUGUGCACAGCCCCCUGUGGGGGACAGUAUGUGGGUUCAGAUGGAGUGGUCUUGUCCCCUAACUACCCCCAGAACUACACCAGUGGACAGAUCUGCCUGUAUUUUGUCACCGUGCCCAAGGACUACGUGGUGUUUGGACAGUUUGCCUUCUUCUACACGGCCCUCAACGACGUGGUGGAGGUGCAUGACGGCCACAACCCGCACUCGCAGCUCCUCGGCUCCCUCUCGGGCUCCCACACAGGAGAAUCGCUGCCCUUGGCCACCUCCAAUCAAGUCCUCAUUAAGUUCAGUGCCAAAGGCCAAGUUCCAGCCAGAGGCUUCCACUUUGUCUACCAAGCGGUGCCCCGGACCAGCGCCACGCAGUGCAGCUCGGUGCCGGAACCCCGCUAUGGCAGGAGGCUGGGCAGUGACUUCUCGGUGGGCGCCACCGUCCGCUUCGAAUGCAACUCCGGCUACGCCCUGCAGGGCUCCCCAGAAAUCGAGUGCCUUCCUGUUCCCGGGGCCUUGGCCCAGUGGAAUGUCUCAGCCCCAACGUGUGUGGUGCCCUGUGGCGGCAACCUCACGGAACGCAGGGGCACCAUCCUGUCCCCCGGCUUCCCCGAGCCGUACCUCAACAGCCUCAACUGCGUGUGGAAGAUCAUGGUCCCCGAAGGCGCUGGCAUCCAGAUUCAAGUCGUCAGUUUUGUCACAGAGCAGAACUGGGACUCCCUGGAAGUGUUUGAUGGUGCAGACAACACUGUAACCAUGCUGGGGAGUUUCUCAGGUACGACCGUGCCUGCCCUGCUGAACAGCACCUCCAACCAGCUCUACCUGCAUUUCUACUCAGACAUCAGCGUGUCUGCAGCCGGCUUCCACUUGGAGUACAAAACGGUGGGCCUGAGCAGUUGUCCAGAACCUGCUGUGCCCAGUAACGGGGUGAAGAUUGGCGAGCGCUACUUGGUGAACGAUGUGGUCUCUUUCCAGUGUGAACCGGGAUAUGCCCUCCAGGGCCACGCCCACAUCUCCUGCAUGCCCGGGACCGUGCGGCGCUGGAACUACCCUCCUCCGCUCUGUAUUGCGCAGUGUGGAGGAGCAGUGGAAGACAUGGACGGAGUGAUCUUGAGCCCCGGCUUCCCCGGCAGCUACCCCAGCAACACGGACUGCUCCUGGCAAAUAGCACUGCCCGUGGGCUUUGGAGCUCACAUCCAGUUCCUGAACUUCUCCACCGAGCCCAACCAUGACUUCAUAGAAAUCCGGAAUGGCCCCUAUGAGACCAGCCGCAUGAUGGGCAGAUUCAGUGGAAGUGAGCUUCCCGGCGCCCUGCUCUCCACAUCCCAUGAGACCACCGUGUAUUUCCACAGCGACCACUCACAGAACCGGCCGGGAUUCAAGCUGGAGUAUCAGGCCUAUGAACUUCAAGAGUGCCCAGACCCCGAGCCCUUUGCGAAUGGCAUUGUGCGGGGAGCUGGCUACAAUGUUGGGCAGUCGGUGACCUUCGAGUGCCUCCCAGGGUAUCAACUGAUGGGCCACCCUGUCCUCACAUGUCAACACGGCACCAACCGGAACUGGGACCACCCCCUGCCCAGGUGUGAAGUGCCCUGUGGCGGGAACGUCACCUCUUUCAAUGGCACUGUGUACUCCCCGGGCUUUCCCAGUCCCUACUCCAGCUCCCAGGACUGUGUCUGGCUGAUCACCGUACCCAUUGGUCACGGCAUCCGCCUCAACAUCAGCCUGCUACAGACGGAGCCCUCUGGAGACUUCAUCACCGUCUGGGAUGGGCCACAGCAGACAGCCCCACAGCUCGGAACCUUCAGCCACAGCUUGGCCAAGAAGACAAUGCACAGCUCAUCCAACCAGGUCCUGCUCAAGUUCCACCGUGAUGCAGCUGCGGGUGGGAUCUUCGCCAUAGCUUUCUCCGCUUAUCCGCUCACCAAAUGCCCUCCUCCCACCAUCCUCCCCAAUGCUGAAGUCGUCACAGAGAAUGAAGAAUUCAACAUAGGUGACAUCGUACGCUACAGGUGCCUCCCUGGCUUUACCUUAGUUGGGAAUGAAAUCCUGACCUGCAAACUUGGAACUUACCUGCAGUUUGAAGGGCCGCCCCCAAUAUGUGAAGUGCACUGCCCAACGAAUGAGCUUCUGACAGACUCCACAGGUGUGAUCCUGAGUCAGAGCUACCCGGGAAGCUAUCCCCAGUUCCAGACCUGCUCUUGGCUGGUGAGAGUGGAGCCCGAAUAUAACAUCACCCUCACAGUGGAGUACUUUCUCAGUGAGAAGCAGUAUGAUGAGUUUGAGAUCUUUGAUGGUCCCUCAGGACAAAGUCCUCUGCUGAAAGCCCUCAGUGGGAACUACUCAGCUCCCCUGAUUGUCACCAGCUCAAGCAACUCUGUGUACCUGCGCUGGUCGUCUGACCAUGCCUACAAUCGGAAGGGCUUUAAGAUUCGGUAUGCAGCUCCCUACUGCAGCCUGCCCAGGGCUCCACUCCAUGGCUUCCUUCUGGGCCAGACCAGCACCCAGCCUGGAGGCUCCAUCCACUUUGGCUGCAACGCCGGCUACCGGUUGGUGGGACACAGCAUGGCCAUUUGCACCCGGCACCCCCAGGGCUACCACCUGUGGAGCGAGGCCAUUCCUCUCUGUCAAGCUCUUUCCUGUGGGCUUCCUGAGGCCCCCAAGAACGGAAUGGUGUUUGGCAAAGAGUACACGGUGGGGACCAAGGCUGUGUACAGCUGCAGCGAAGGCUACCACCUCCAGGCAGGUGCCGAGGCCACUGCAGAAUGUCUGGAGACAGGCCUAUGGAGCAACCACAAUGUCCCCGCACAGUGUGUCCCUGUGACCUGUCCCGACGUCAGCAGCAUCAGUGUGGAACACGGCCGAUGGAGGCUCAUCUUUGAGACGCAGUACCAGUUCCAGGCCCAGCUGAUGCUCAUCUGUGACCCUGGCUACUACUACACUGGCCAGAGGGUCAUCCGCUGUCAGGCCAAUGGCAAGUGGAGCCUCGGCAACUCUAUGCCCACCUGCCAAAUCAUCUCCUGUGGAGAGCUCCCCAUCCCGCCCAAUGGGCACCGCAUCGGAACCCUAUCCGUCUAUGGAGCGACGGCCAUCUUCUCCUGCAACUCCGGGUACACGCUGGUGGGCUCCAGGGUGCGAGAGUGCAUGGCCAACGGGCUCUGGAGUGGCUCCGAAGUCCGCUGCCUUGCUGGACACUGCGGGACCCCUGAGCCCAUCGUCAACGGGCAAAUCAAUGGGGAGAACUACAACUACCGGGGCAGCGUGGUGUACCAGUGCAACGCCGGCUUCCGCCUGAUCGGCAUGUCUGUGCGCAUCUGCCAGCAGGAUCAUCACUGGUCAGGCAAGACCCCUUUCUGUGUGCCGAUUACCUGUGGACACCCAGGCAACCCAAUGAACGGCCUCACCCAGGGCAACCAGUUCAACCUCAACGAUGUGGUCAAGUUUGUUUGCAACCCUGGGUAUGUGGCUGAGGGGGCUGCUCGGUCCCAGUGCCUGGCCAGCGGGCAGUGGAGCGACGUGCUGCCCACCUGCCGAAUCAUCAACUGUACAGAUCCUGGGCACCAAGAAAACAGCGUUCGUCAAAUCCACGCCAGCGGCCCGCACACGUUCAGCUACGGCACCACCGUGUCUUACCAGUGCAACCACGGCUUCUACCUCCUGGGCACCCCGGUGCUCAGCUGCCAGGGAGAUGGCACAUGGGACCGUCCCCGCCCCCAGUGUCUCUUGGUGUCCUGUGGCCAUCCGGGCUCCCCGCCCCAUUCCCAGAUGUCCGGGGACAACUAUACCGCAGGGGCGGUCGUGCGUUACAGCUGCACCAGCAAGCGGACUCUAGUGGGAAAUGCCACCCGAAUGUGUGGGCUGGACGGACACUGGACUGGCUCCCUCCCUCACUGCUCAGGAGCCAGCAUGGGAAUCUGUGGUGACCCUGGCAUCCCAGCCCAUGGCAUCCGUUUGGGAGAUAGCUUUGCCCCGGGCAGCCUGAUGCGCUUCAGCUGUGAAGCUGGCCACGUGCUCCGGGGAUCGUCAGAGCGAACUUGUCAAGCCAACGGCUCGUGGAGCGGCACGCAGCCUGAGUGUGGAGUGAUCUCUUGUGGGAACCCCGGGACUCCAAGCAAUGCCCGAGUCAUGUUCAGCGAUGGCCUGGUUUUCUCCAGCUCCAUCGUCUAUGAGUGUCGGGAAGGGUACUACACCACAGGCCUGCUCAGCCGGCACUGCUCGGUCAAUGGCACCUGGACAGGCAGCGACCCGGAGUGCAUAGUCAUAAACUGUGGCGACCCUGGGAUUCCAGCCAAUGGCCUCCGGCUGGGCAGUGACUUCAGGUACAACAAAACUGUGACCUACCAGUGCAUCCCUGGCUACAUGAUGGAGUCACAUAGGGUGUCCGUGCUGAGCUGCACCAAGGACCGGACGUGGAAUGGCACCAAGCCGGUCUGCAAAGCUAUCAUGUGCAAACCGCCUCAGCUCAUCCCCAACGGGAAAGUGGUGGGGUCCGACUUCAUGUGGGGCUCAAGCGUGACGUAUGCCUGCCUGGAGGGGUACCAGCUCUCCCUGCCUGCGGUGCUCACCUGCGAGGGAAACGGGUCCUGGACUGGAGAGCUGCCUCAGUGUUUCCCUGUGUUCUGCGGAGAUCCUGGCAUCCCGGCCCGUGGCAGGAGAGAGGACCGAGGUUUCUCCUACAGGUCUUCUGUCUUCUUCUCCUGCCAGCCCCCUCUGGUGCUGGUGGGCUCUCCACGGAGGUUCUGCCAGUCAGAUGGGACAUGGAGUGGCACCCAGCCCAGCUGCAUAGACCCCACGCUGACCACGUGUGCGGACCCUGGCGUGCCACAGUUUGGGAUACAGAACAAUUCCCAGGGCUACCAGGUUGGAAGCACCGUGCUCUUCCGUUGUCAGAAAGGUUACCUGCUCCAGGGCUCCACCACCAGGACCUGUCUUCCCAACCUGACCUGGAGCGGAACCCCGCCCGACUGUGUCUCCCACCACUGCAAGCAGCCGGAGAUGCCGACCCAUGCCAACGUUGGGGCCCUGGACUUGCCCUCCAUGGGCUACACGCUCAUCUAUUCCUGCCAGGAGGGCUUCUCCCUCAAGGGUGGCUCCGAGCACCGCACAUGCAAAGCAGAUGGCAGCUGGACAGGCAAACCACCCGUCUGCCUGGCAGAGGUCCGGCCCAGUGGGAGACCCAUCAACACUGCCCGGGAGCCUCCGCUCACUCAAGCUUCAGUUCCUGGGGAUGUUUUUGCAAAGAAUUCCCUAUGGAAAGGGACCUAUGAGUACCAGGGGAAGAAGCAGCCAGCCAUGCUCAGAGUGACCAGUUUCCAGGUCAUCAACAGCAAGGUCAACGCCACCAUGAUUGACCACAGUGGCGUGGAGCUGCACUUGGCUGGAAUUUACAAGAAAGAAGAUUCCCAUCUCCUCCUCCAAGUUUACCAGGUUACAGGGCCUGUGGAGGUCUUUGUGAAUAAGUUCAAAGGUGAUCACUGGGCCUUAGAUGGGCAUGUCUCCCCAGAGUUCUCCGGAGGCACCUUCAUUUACCAAGGCGCUGUCAAGGGCCAAGGCUUUGGGCAGUUCGGCUUUCAAAGACUUGACCUCAGGCUGCUGGAAUCAGACCCCGAGUCCAUCGGCCGCCACUUUGCUUCCAACAGCAGCUCGGUGGCGGCCGCGAUCCUGGUGCCGUUCAUCGCGCUCAUCAUCGCGGGCUUUGUGCUCUAUCUCUACAAGCACAGGAGAAGACCCAAAGUUCCGUUCAACGGCUACGCUGGCCACGAGAACACCAAUGUGCGGGCCACGUUUGAGAACCCGAUGUACGACCGCAACAUCCAGCCCACAGACAUCAUGGCCACCGAGGCGGAGCUCACAGUCAGCACGGUGUGUACAGCGGUAUAGCCUCCAGGCCAGGCUGCCUUCGUCACCGCCACUGAGAGCCCCACCUCCGGCAGCUGUUCUCCAGGGGACAGGAAGUAAGCUCCCCUGGCACAGUGCCCAGUGCCCAUCUUCGUCUGUCUCUCCGCCCGUGUCUGCUACUACUGGGACUUGGGCCCUUGCCCUGCCACCAUCCACCCCCAUCACCCUGGAGAGGACACCCACCCCGCCCCGACUCGGGGCCCUAAAGGAAGAGGGGCUGGCUGCCGUCAGAGGAAGGACAUUAUGGAUUGAAAACAGCAAAGGAUUUUGUGGGUGUGCACGUGUGUGUGUGGGCCUGAACACACACAAACACACACCUCUCCUUCAGUUGAGUCCUACAGAAGAGACCGCAGAAGCUUAAAAAAGUGAAAUGUGUGUGAAAGAUGCCCCAUGCCCUGCUCCCCACAAACACAGAGAAGAGGUAAAGAAGACGCAGUGGAUGUGUUAGCAGAUACGUCCCAUGGCGGUCGGUACGCAGAGACCAGCCAUCUGCAAGUGGACGGUCCCAGCCGCAGAACAACAGCAAGGAUAACCCCAAGGGCCGAAAACAGUCUUAAGAAAUCGUUUGGAAAUCAGUUUCUAUUUUUUCUAACAUAAUUUUACUGAGCUCUAAACCCAGUGAAUUUUAAAAGUCCUCCUAGGGCUUCC